rnacentral:rRNA from 1 species
ACUCAAAUGAAUUGACGGGGACCCGCACAAGCAGCGGAGCGUGUGGUUUAAUUCGAUGCAACGCGAAGAACCUUACCUGGGCUUGACAUGCACUCGCAACACCAAGAAAUUGGUGCCUCCUUCGGGACGGGUGCACAGAUGCUGCAUGGCUGUCGUCAGCUCGUGUCGUGAGAUGUUGGGUUAAGUCCCGCAACGAGCGCAACCCUCGUCUUUAGUUGACAAUCUAAAGAGACUGCCGGAAACAAACCGGAGGAAGGUGGGGAUGAUGUCAAGUCAGCAUGGCUCUUACGUCCAGGGCUACACACACGCUACAAUGGUCGUUACAGCGAGAAGCCACCCAGCGAUGGGGAGCAGAUCUCUAAAAGGCGGCCUCAGUUCAGAUUGCACUCUGCAACCCGAGUGCAUGAAGUCGGAGUUGCUAGUAACCGCGUGUCAGCAUAGCGCGGUGAAUAUGUUCCCGGGUCUUGUACACACCGCCCGU